GGAGAUAUUGCUCAGUUGGUAAAGUGCUUGCCUCCCAUGCAUAAAGCCCUGGUUUCAAUUACCAGCACCACUA
rnacentral:tRNA from 1 species